ACCAAGUUUUGAAGGCAUGCACAGCUUGUCAUAUGUGGAUGUAUCUUACAACGAAUUGGAAGGUCCCAUUCCCAACAACAAAGCAUUUCGACAAGCUUUGCCAGAAGCUUUACAAGGGAACAAAGGAUUGUGCGGCAACGUUGAAGGUUUGCAAUCUUGCACAAUUGGCCCAAGAAAGGACCGCAAAUGGGUAUUUGGAAUCACAUUCUCCCUUAUAGCAGCAAUUUUACUUGUUUCUGCUUUCUUUACAAUUAAAUUUGUAGUGCAAAGAAAGAAGAAACGUCCAGAAAAAGCAGAAAAAAACUUGCAUGAAGAAAUAUCAUUUUCAGUUUUAAAUUUUGAUGGAAAGUCAAUGUAUGAGGAAAUCAUAAGGGCGACAGAAAUUUUGAUUCCACAUAUUGCAUCGGGAGCGGAGGACAAGGAAGCGUUUACAAAGCAAAUUUGUCAAGUGACAACAUAGUGGCUGUGAAAAAACUACAUCAAUUGUGGGAUGGUGAGAAGAAUUUGGAGACGACAUUCUUGAAUGAAAUAAGGGCACUAACAGAGAUAAGACACCGGAAUAUUGUGAAGCUUUAUGGUUUAUGUUCACACCAUCGACACUCGUUCUUGGCGUACGAGUUUGUUGAUAGAGGUAGCUUGGCUGCAAUUUUGAGCAAAGAUGAAGAAGCUAAAGAAGUAGGGUGGAGAAAAAGGGUUAAUAUUGUUAACGGUGUAACUCAUGCCUUGGCAUACAUGCACCACGAUUGCUUGCCACCAAUUGUGCACCGGGACAUAUCAACCAAGAAUAUUUUGUUGGAUUCUGAAUAUGAGGCCUCUGUUUCAGACUUUGGCACUGCUAAGUUUUUGAAUCCAGACUCAACAACUUGGACUACCGUUGCAGGCACAUAUGGGUAUGUCGCACCAGAACUUGCAUAUACCAUGGAAGUGAACGAAAAAUGUGAUGUUUAUAGCUUUGGAGUGGUUGCUAUGGAAACAAUCAUGGGAAGGCAUCCUGGUGAUUUUUUCUCAUCAUUCUUAUCAGUGCCUUCUUCGUCCACGUCGUCAUCAGCAUCAACAUUACCACCCCAUCAAAUGUCAGUUGUGGAUGUUCUGGACCAACGCAUUUUGCCUCCAACACAUCAAGAAGCAGGGGAAGUACUCUCUCUUAUGAAGAUUGCGUUUUCAUGCUUGAAUCCCAGUCCGCAUUCUCGUCCUAUAAUGAAACGAGUUACUCAACUCCUCUCAACUCAGAAGUUGCAUUUGUCGAAGCCAAUAUGUAUGAUAACCUGCGGUGAAUUGCUUGCUCUAGAUCCUUUGACGGCUUGAGAAGCAGAGAGUGUGCUUGUUUCCGAUAAAUAAAUUUCGAGUCUUCCUUUUAGAAGAAAGAUUCUUUGUAGAUGUUUCCUGUAUUGUAAUUUAUUUUUAUGCACUAGUUUGCUGGGGCUCUAUUCACUUUAUGCAGAACGCUUAAUGUUUUUCAGUUGAAAUUGUGUUUACGCUUGUGAGGAAGAAAUAGAAGUUAAUAAAACAAAGAAUUGGUUUUCAUGCAUAAGGACAAUGACUGGCUAAGAUGAGAAUGCAAUGGCCACACUUAUAUUACUAUUUCUAUUUAUGUAUACGACAGGCGUAAAGUCAUAGACAAAAGCAACCAAGAAGUAGACCAAAAGCAAUCAAAUUUUGGAACGUAAGCAAAUGAACGUGCGUCGCCCGUUGGAACGUAAGCAAAUGAACGUGCGUCGCCCGUUGAAUAUUACACCGUAAAAUUGAUUGGAGAGCUUGAGAAAUGAUGUAAUGAUGAUCUCGCCAAUUGAAUCUAAGGCUGAUCUUGCAAAUUGAGACUAGCAGAUUGAUCUCGGGUCCGACUUCUCUUGAAUUUCUCCUUUCUCCCUAGCAGGCCCGGCCCUGGCCCAAUGCUAACAAGGCUCCUGUCCGCCGUCCUGCGUCUUCACCAUCGACGCUUCGGUCUCUCCGUCUUCGAGGUUCCAAGCCUUUCUCUUCGUCUUCAUAAGUUCUUCGCGACCAGACUACAGGCUAAGGCUGUACUGUCCACCCACACCGAGAUCCAACGGUGCACACAGACCUGCCUGCCUCCACCUCCGCCUCCAGCUCUCCGCGGCUCCACCCAACCGUGACACCAAUCACACCACCACCUGACCACCAUCGCCCAUCGGAUGAUCGCCGAUCUAAUGCCGAUGAUAUUAAAUCCCGAUUCCCAAGCCCAGCCCAACCGCGCAGCCGUGGCGAAGCGAGUUUCAAAUGCAUCCGCAUUGACUCAGGGUGUCAAGUCGGUCUUUCGGUUCGUUCGAUUCGCCGAGAUCGAAAUCCUCUUUCGUUGUCUUCAUCAUCGCUGUUGAUAAGUUUAGCGGUCCUGAAAGGAUGAAGUUGGAAGCAGAAAAGAGAGAUGAUGUGAUUUGCAUAUCUGCUCUGAGUGGUGAGGGUAUAACUGAAUUCUGCAGUUCAGGAUAAAUUGAAGGACUCUAUGGUAUGGGUUGAAGCCUUGAUCCCGUUUGAGAAAGGGGAGCUUCUUAGUACCAUACAAAGGAACGCUAGCAACUCAAAUGUUCCCUUUUUUUAAUACGGAAAUUGAAAUUGCAUUUUGGGUGGAAACGUCUUCGGAUGACUAAAAUCCAUCGUAAUUAAACGGUGAAUUUGAACUAUGAAGUCGUUCCCUUUGCAAAAAAGUAUCAUAAACGCAAAUCGGAGUUCAGACAACAAAUUCGCAAAUUCUCACUGCGACCUUUUGCCUACCAAUGGUCCAUUUCCUCUUCAAUCCAUUCGGCCAUUUGUUCCACAUCAUGUUAUCUUACUAGCAUCUCAAAAUGGAGCCUUUCACUUUCUCCAUUUUAUUAUUUUAAGUUCCUGAGUUCACAUCGGUUACCGUGUGGUUAGUUCGAUGUACAAACAAAUCGCAGCUGGCAGAAGACACUGUUCAAACAUAGGUUUUCUGUAUAUAGCAGUCGAAUGCUAACCAUCGUGAUUGAAUCAAUCACACUUGCCUGAAAUCACAAAUAUGAAACCAAUAUUCGUAUCAAUGUUAUAUGCCAUUUCGAGGAGUUGUGCUGUGUCAUCUUGUCAAGUUGUUCAUCUUCUGGAAAAACCUUUUUCACGAAAGGCUUGUUCUUUUUUCUAAAGCUAAUGAGGAAUUGAAUAGCAUCUUCAAAUGAGGUGUCAAAAUCUUAGUUGGAGUGUCUCUGUGCAUAUUUGACGUUAAAAGUCUCUCAAAUCAAAGUGUUAUUUGCUGACUAGAUUUAAAAGCUUUGUGGUUUGAAGUCAAAUUUGACAAUGUCAAAUUUAUUUUUAAUUUAUUUUAAUGGUGGAUCCUGCAAGGUUCGAGGGGGAGGCUUUGGUGCUGUUAUGCGAGAUCAUAGGGGAGUUUUCAUUGCUGCAACUGCGGGUUCGAUUGGUUGGACAUGUUCUGCGUUCCAUGCAGAACUUUUUGCUGCUCGUCAGGCUGUGUUGCUGGCCCAAACGUUUUGCCAUGUUGGUAAAAUGAUGAUUUUUGAAGGUGACUCUAGCUUGGUUUUGGCUGCCAUGAAGGGUCAGGAGGAGGAUUGUUCAUUUUUGGGGCCUAUCAUUAAUGAUCUGCAUUUUUUGCUCCAGUCUUUUCCUCAGUCGUUGGUAAACUAUGUGCAACGGGGAGGUAACUCGGUUGCGCACAGGCUUGCUCGAGUGGGAGUUGGAAAUAAUCAACAGCUCUUGUGGUUUGAAGACCCCCUGAUUUGCUUAGGGAUAUUUUAUUCGAAGAAAGCUUGUAAAUUGUUAUGUUUUGUUAUGUAUUGUCAUUUGAGGAUAGUUCUUUCUGUUAUGCGGGACGCUCUUUUCCCUUCGACCAGGUUGAAAGCCCCCGUAAGGUUUUAUUGAGGCUCAUUAUGCACACUAUUCUCAGUUUGUAUGUGUUCUAUUUCAAUGCAAUGAAUAACUUACU